rnacentral:rRNA from 1 species
AGUGCCUCGCAAGAGGAGACCUGGAGACAGGUGCUGCAUGGCUGUCGUCAGCUCGUGUCGUGAGAUGUUGGUUAAGUCCCGCAACGAGCGCAACCCCUAUCUUUAGUUGCCAUCAUUGAGUUGGGCACUCUAAAGAGACUGCCGGUGUCGAAACCGGAGAAGGUGGGGAUGACGUCAAGUCCUCAUGGCCUUUAUGACCAGGGCUACACACGUACUACAAUGGCCGGUACAAAGGGCAGCGACACAGCGAUGUGAAGCGAAAUCCCGAAAAGCCGGUCUCAGUCCGGAUUGGAGUCUGCAACUCGACUCCAUGAAGUUGGAAUCGCUAGUAAUCGCGGAUCAGCACGCCGCGGUGAAUACGUUCCCGGGCCUU